rnacentral:lncRNA from 1 species
AGAUGUGAGAGACAAAUCUAAAGAAGUUGAAAGUAUGAUAUAUCCUAAUCCAACACAUUUACCCAUUAGGGUCGAUCUCAAUCUGCCUCAUGACCCACAUUAUCAAUAGCAAUUAAGAUGGGCCCCUUGUUUUUGUUCUCAUGCAUCUACUUGUUUUAUCUUUAAUCAAGGAUAGCAACGGAUUGAAUUGGAUAGACUGGUAUUAAUAUUUGUUCUGUAAUUAAAUUUUUUAUUUUUAUAUUUAAUUUAAAUCUAUCUCAAAUCGAAUCAGAUUAAAUAGAAAUAUCGAUCACGUUGGAUUGGGUAGGCAAGAGGAGUCG